rnacentral:rRNA from 1 species
UAAUUGAAGAGUUUGAUCAUGGCUCAGAUUGAACGCUGGCGGCAGGCCUAACACAUGCAAGUCGAGCGGCAGCACAG